CUCUGCUGCGCCCCGGUCUCCAACAGCCAUUCUGAGGAACCCAUCUCGCUGCCACCAUCGUCUGCUAUCCUCCAGCAAGUGUGCUGCGGUACGCCGAUGUCCUCCGAUCGGCAAGCUCCGCCCCUGCCGGCAUCGUCCACCCACACCAUGUCCUCCUCUUUGCCAAGCAGCGUUAAGCGGUGAUUAUCAGAAGUCCAAGACCACACUGUAGGCAGGAAAAAGGAAUGUUCUUGGGUAAAGAGGUCAAUCUCUUCCAAUACACAAUUGUUGAGGUUCUUGAAGUCCGCCCCCUCAUUGAUUGGAACAGGGUGUAAGUUGUGGAAUUUUUGCUGUGACCGCCUGGACUACGAUGACAGGGCUGACAAAGAUGAAGCCAAGUUGAAGAUUCAGAGUUGCAAGGCAGGCACAGUUAACAGGGAUAAGAAACUAUAGAAGAUUUAUCAAAUCAGACAUGGGCUUGGUUAUGCAAUGAAUCAUUUGGAUCUGAGAAGGUUAUAGGGGUGGCCCAGAUAUCAUGGAGACUUGGGGAGGCGCCGUGCUCGGUCCAGUGAGGAGCUCCGGGUCAACACUGUGGCUGCAUGGUGGGCAUGAACCAUGGUGACUGCCUUCCGGCUUUAUUCUGUUGGCUCGUACAUUUGCUGCUGGCUAUUCUUACAGAAUCAUGAAUUAGACUUAGGAGAAUUGGCAUGUCAUCACAUGAAAUUUUUUAAACUAUGAGGUGCUACAGGUAAACAUGGUGAAUUCACACUUUUAAACUGCCUGGUGAUUUUUUAAAUCUCAGGCAAUCAGAACAUAUGCAUUUUCUUUGUUUCUCGCUUCAUGUUUUGUCAUGGACUACAUGAGUUUCAUGUAUACCAGAAUGUUUCCAAACCUGUGAUUAACAAGUUCUUUUCCACUUCUAAAUUACAAAU